GAGUUUGAUCCUGGCUCAGGAUUAACGCUAGCGGCAUGCCUAAUACAUGCAAGUCGAACGAAAGUAGCAAUACUUUAGUGGCGAACGGGUGAGUAACACGUAUCUAACCUACCAUUUAGUGAGGAAUAACUGUUGGAAACAACAGCUAAUACCGCAUAUGUUAUUUAUUUGCAAUGAUAAAUAAUGAAAGGAGCAUUUGCUUCGCUAAUUGAUGGGGAUGCGGCGCAUUAACUAGUUGGUAAGGUAAUGGCUUACCAAGGUAACGAUGCGUAGCCGAUCUGAGAGGAUGAACGGCCACAUUGGGAAUGAGACACGGCCCAAACUUCUACGGAAGGCAGCAGUAGGGAAUUUUUCACAAUGGGCGAAAGCCUGAUGGAGCAAUGCCGCGUGACUGAUGAAGGUCUUCGGAUUGUAAAAGUCUGUUGUAAGAGAAGAAGUGCUAGAAUAGGAAAUAAUUUUAGUAUCGACCAUACCUUACCAGA
rnacentral:rRNA from 1 species